rnacentral:rRNA from 1 species
GACGUAGGAGGCGAGCGUUAUCCGGAUUCACUGGGCGUAAAGCGCAUGUAGGCGGUUGCACAAGUCCGUUGUUAAAGCCCCUGGCUCAACUGGGGGAGGUCAAUGGAGACUGUGCGACUUGAGGGCAGUAGAGGCACGUGGAACUCCCGGUGUAGCGGUGGAAUGCGUAGAGAUCGGGAAGAACACCAGUGGCGAAGGCGACGUGCCGGGCUGCAACUGACGCUGAGAUGCGAAAGUGUGGGGAGCAAACAGG